rnacentral:rRNA from 1 species
CAGUCGCCACGGUAAUACGGAGGGAGCUAGCGUUGUUCGGAAUUACUGGGCGUAAAGCGCGCGUAGGCGGUUACUCAAGUCAGAGGUGAAAGCCCGGGGCUCAACCCCGGAACUGCCUUUGAAACUAGGUGACUAGAAUCUUGGAGAGGUCAGUGGAAUUCCGAGUGUAGAGGUGAAAUUCGUAGAUAUUCGGAAGAACACCAGUGGCGAAGGCGACUGACUGGACAAGUAUUGACGCUGAGGUGCGAAAGCGUGGGGAGCAAACAGGAUUAGAUACCCCCGUAGUCCCUGUCUCUUAUAC